rnacentral:rRNA from 1 species
UGGCAAGCUUUCCGAAAGGAUCGAGCUUGCUGUGUGAACCCUACCUACCCUUGCUUUUUGCGUACCCAUUGUUUCCUCGGCAGGCUUGCCUGCCAGUAGGACCCUCUUAAACCCUUUGUAAUUGCAGUCAGCGUCAGAAACAACGUAAUCGUUACAACUUUCAACAACGGAUCUCUUGGUUCUGGCGUCGAUGAAGAACGCAGCGAAAUGCGAUAAGUAGUGUGAAUUGCAGAAUUCAGUGAAUCAUCGAAUCUUUGAACGCACAUUGCGCCCCUUGGUAUUCCAUGGGGCAUGCCUGUUCGAGCGUCAUUUGUACCCUCCAGCCCUGCUGGGUGUUGGGCGUUUGUUCCGCUGCGCGCGUGAACUCGCCUCAAAUGCAUUGGCAGCCCGCCGUCCCGUGUGGGAGCGCAGCACAUUUUGCGCUCUCCACUGCAGACGGUGGCAUCCACAAGUCUACAUUUUUACGCUUGACCUCGGAUCAGGUAGGGAUACCCGCUGAACUUAAGCAUAUCAAUAA